GACGAACGCUGGCGGCGUGCUUAACACAUGCAAGUCGAACGGAAAGGCCCUGCUUUUGUGGGGUGCUCGAGUGGCGAACGGGUGAGUAACACGUGAGUAACCUGCCCUUGACUUUGGGAUAACUUCAGGAAACUGGGGCUAAUACCGGAUAGGAGCUCCUGCUGCAUGGUGGGGGUUGGAAAGUUUCGGCGGUUGGGGAUGGACUCGCGGCUUAUCAGCUUGUUGGUGGGGUAGUGGCUUACCAAGGCUUUGACGGGUAGCCGGCCUGAGAGGGUGACCGGCCACAUUGGGACUGCGAUACGGCCCAGACUCCUACGGGCGGCAGCAGUGGGGAAUAUUGCACAAUGGGCGGAAGCCUGAUGCAGAAACGCCGCGUGCGGGAUGACGGCCUUCGGGUUGUAAACCGCUUUCGCCUGUGACGAAGCGUGAGUGACGGUAAUGGGUAAAGAAGCACCGGCUAACUACGUG
rnacentral:rRNA from 1 species